GACGGACAUUACGGGCAUUACUGGGCAUGAUCCGGGCGCUACCGGGCAUGACCAGACGUUACCGGGCGUAACCGGGCAUGGACCGGGCGUUACCAGGCACGGACCGGGUUUUACCGGGCACGCACUCAGUGGCCCAGGUCUGAUGAAAAAGCUUCUUCUGCUGCUAGGAUUCACAGACAAACAUCAGCACCUGCUCUCUGAACUGUCAGUAUCGGCUUCCUGUGUUGUCCAGGCCAUCAGAGCUAAUUGCCCAGCAUAAGAUGGGCAGUACCGUGGCUACCAGGAGACAGUAGAUGCUCAAGAUGAGCUGUGACUAUUUUUACCCUAGCAAACGCACCCUACCCAUUUGUAAAUAGUUCAUAUUUUUCAUGAAUAAAACUUCAAAUUCA
ensembl:lncRNA